rnacentral:piRNA from 1 species
UAGGACAGAAACUCACAGAAUACAGAC